CUUUGAAUUGUAUUACUAAUAUCAACUUAAUAGUAAACCAACUAUUCUAGAACUUCUAGACUCUAAAAUAAAAAUCCUAAACUUAUAAUGACUUCUAAAUAAACAUUAACCCAAAUAGGAAACCAAUUGGUGUAGGUAGGAUGUCCUACAUCAGCUUCCAAUACCAGUAAAGACACUGAUUAUCCUGGUAACACAAUUAUUUCAUGGUGGGACCUCAAACAAGAUUGCUCUCAACACAGUUCUUCCCAGCAUGAAGAUGAGAAUAAUGAUAUUGAUCUAGGAGAGGAUUAAUCUCUCUUCUUAAUACUAUUGACCCUCAAUACCAUUUUCACACAGACAAUGGGGUCUACAACACCCGUAAAUUACUCUACCGACAAUGGGAACCACAGAACCUACGUAAAUCAUCAACGAGCGAAUCUUCCAACAAUAAUGCUCGACAAAGAUAAUGCCCGCUACUAUUCAAAGGGGGCCACAUCACAUAAUGCUCUCAAUAGGGUCCACCCACUAGCAAGGUGCCCUAUGGGACCCACUUCCCACUUUCCAACUGGGACCCACUUUCCACUCUCCAAAUUGCUUAAAUAAAGAAGCAUUUCUCAGAAGAAAGAAAAAGCUCGGACAAUCUCCUUCUCUUAAGCUUCGACUCUUUCUCUCUCUCUCUCUCUCUCUCUCUCUCUCUCUCUCUCUCUCUCUCUCUCUCUCUCUCUCUCUCUCUCUCUCUCAAGCCUUAAGCCUUCUUCUCCCCUUUUCUAGACUUGUAAUCUUUUUUGCUUUCUUAUUUUCCUCUUCUGUAACCUUGUAAUCGUUUGGUGUGCUUCUUAACCACCUGAAACUUUAUUCAGGGGGUAUAUGUAUGUAAAUUAAGCUCAAGUAUUCUGUAAGUUUUUUUCGUUUUCUUGUUUUAAAUUUUAUGUGAAUAAAGUUUCAAUAUUCAGUAAGUUUUUUGUUCUUCUUUUCUUUUCUUAGUUUAUUUUCUGUUCUUUAAUUUAUGUUUUAGAUUUCUGUAAUUUUCGCUGUUCUGUUUUAGUUUAAUUUAACUAUUUAUAAUCCUGAUUUAAAAUUGGUAUCAGAGCCAUGUCAGCGUAAAUUACUGUUGGGGAACAUGUAGUGAUCUUGAUCAAUAGUAAUUGUUCGAGAUGAGAACGAUGAUACUGUUUCAGUUCUUCAUUACGAUAUGGAGAAUAUUCCUAAUCAAGGAACUAAGCGACUCCUUUGGAGCACUGCAACCCUUUGUAAGGGGAAUGGAUUGUCAAGCUGCUACUGGUAGCCUCUGACAGUAGCAGUGAUGAGGGUCUGAGCAAUUAUGUGUAAAUCGACCUCUAUUGCUUAUAGAACUUGUUAGUAAUAUUAUCUAUUAUUUUGAUGAGAUUUAUGAUUAGUCUUUUGACAUCGUCGCGUUGGACUACUCUGUAGUCUCCGACUAAUAAUUGUUUUGUGUUUUAUUUAUGAUUAAUAUCAACUCCGUCGCGUGGGACUACUUGUAGUCUCCGGCUGUAAUGAUUAAGUAUUCUGAUUCAUGAUGAAUAUAGACUUCGUCGCGUUAUUUCCCGUUUAGCCGCAGGCAGGUGGCCGUUAGGCGUUUAGGCAUUUUAUUCGUUGACUGUUGAAGUUCAUCAAAAAUUUGAAUAUGAGAUUAUUAUUUGCUGAGACAUAAAUCGUUGACUGAUGAAAUUAAUUAUGGAUUAAAGAUGUGAAAUAAUUAUCAGUUGUGACUUAAGUCGCUGACUGUCAGUAUUAAUCAUGGAUAAUGAUCUAGAACUUUAUCUGUAAUUUUAAUGUUCUCUUUUCUGGACAAUUACCUUUGUAUUAAGAACUGCAUGAUCCCUAACACCUUAUUGACACCUUAUCUUUAGUGUUAUUCGGUUUUAUUCUAACUUUCUUAUAAAUUAGAUUAUUUUAAAAUGUCUCAAAAUGAUAUAUAUUUUAAUUGUUUGGAAACCUCUAAUAUGGAGAGAAUUAAUAAAACUGCUUUUGGUAGGAUUUCUUCUAUUAAUAUAAUAGAAUCAAUCAAUGAUUUUAAAAUUGAUCGUGUAGCCAUUAAUAAUGAAUGGAAAAAUCCUAAAUAUGAUACCUUUAGAAAAUGGUAUGGGGAUCACUACAAUGAUGGACAACAUGAAUUUUUAAAAGAAAAUUAUUACAAGUAUUUGAAUAAUACUAAAAUUAUUAUUCCAUUCGCGCAUUAUGUGCUAAGAUGGGAUAGGACUUUAGAAUCAUGUGUUAUUAAAGAUUUUUAUAACAAUUGGACUACUACUGAUGGUAGGAAUAUUAAAGCCAUUCAUCCUCCUACAUAGCCUUUAAAAUUAAUUAAUGAGUCUUCUAUUCUGGAGACUGUUGCGUAUAUUCAACCUUCAGAUAAUGAAACAGGAUUAAAUAAGGUUUUCAAACAGCCUAAACAAAAUGUCAUUCUUGAAAAAACUAACAGUGGUAUAAACGUCACCUUAGAAGAUAAGGAUGAGGUCAUUCUUGUUUCUUCUAAAAUUGAUAAUUAUAUCAAUUAUGAUAAUAUUAUUCUUGUUUCUUCCAGAAAAAUUGACAGUGAUAUUAACGACAGUCUAAAGAGUAAGCAUGAUGUCCCUCAUGACGUCACCCAUGAUGUCACUUUCAUUUCUUCUAAUAAAGAAAUUAUUGUUUCUGAAUCAACUGAGAAUAACGAUAUAGGACAAUAUCCUAAUCAAUUUAAUAAUACUAUAAGUGUUUUGUCACCUAGUAUUAAAAAUAUGAUUUCCCAAAGGAAAAUCUCCAAGAAACCUUUCCGUCAGAAAACUGUCUUUGUUAAUUAUCGACAAAUUAAUUUUAAAACCCAAAUUGUUUUCAAUUUCAAAAAAACAAUUUGUUUUAAACCGAUUUCCUAAACGGGAUGAUUUCACAUCUAUUAUUAACCAGAUAAAAAGAAAAAAUAUUUGUUCAUCUGAUAUAAUUAGAUUAAUUAAAUCUUUUAUGCACGGUUUUUUGAAUAUCACUAAUAGUGAAUCAAAAUUUGCAAAUAGUUUUUAUCAAAAGACUUUUCUAAAUUAUGACUUACCUAAUAUUAAUGUCCUGAGUAAUGAUCAGACCUUAAUUUUAGAUGUUAUUAAUAAAUUAUCUGAUCCUGUUGAAAGAAGACAAGCUUUUCAAAGUUAUUUAGAAAAUAAUUCUAAAUCCCUUUCUUCUCUUGAUAAUGAUUUUCAUAAUAAUAAAUUCAAUUCUAUAACUAGUAAAUCUACUAUUUCUGACCUUAAAGGUGAAAUUAAUAAUCUUAAAUCAGAUAUUAAGAUAUUAAAUAGGAAAAUUUUCUUAUUUCAAAAUUCUUCACCAGAAAUAGAUAUUACUGGAGAUUUACUAUCCUUAAAUUACCCUACCAAUCAGAGAUGGCAUAUUAAAGUAAAACUGGUUAUUAAUCAGGAAUUUACUUUAGAAACUAUUGCUUUGGUAGAUAAUGGUUCAGACCUUAAUUGCAUAAGGGAAGGUUUAAUUCCUACUAGAUAUUUUGAGAAAACAAAAUAUGCCUUGAAUACUGCUAAUGGUUCUCCUAUGAGAAUAAAUUAUAAAUUAUCUGAUGUUUUUGUGUGCAAUGAUGGUAUUUGUCUUAAUACUCCUUUUGUUUUAUCCGAUAAUCUAUCCCAAAUGGUAAUCUUAGGAAGACCUUUGUUAAGCCUUAUUUGGCCUAUUGAAAGAAUAGAUAAUAAUGGAAUUCACACUACUAUAAAAGGGAAAAAGAUAGUCUUUGAAUUUGUCUUCAAACCUAAGAAUAAUUAUAUUAAUCAAUUACAAGAAACUUUAAUUUUAAAAGAAAAACAAAUUAAUUUUUUAUCCCAAGAAAUAAGCUAUGCUUCGAUUGAUAAACAAUUAGAGCAAAAUAAUAUUAAAGAAAAAAUACUUUCUUUAGAAAAACAAUUUCAAAAGGAGAUUUGUAGUGAUGUUCCUAACGCCUUUUGGGAUAGGAAACAACACAUAGUUAAAUUACCCUAUAUUGAAGGGUUUAAUGAAAAUAUGAUACCUACUAAGGCUAGACCUAUUCAAAUGAAUAAAAUUUAUAUAGAAUUGUGUAAGACUGAAAUCCAAGGCCUUUUAGAAAAACAACUUAUUAGGAAAAGCUCUUCAUGUUGGAGUUGUGCAGGCUUUUAUGUUAAUAAAAACGCUGAACAAGAACGAGGUAUUCCUAGAUUAGUUAUUAAUUAUAAACCCCUUAAUAAGGUUUUGCAAUGGAUUCGUUAUCCUAUUCCCAAUAAAAAGGAUUUAUUAAAACGCUUAAAUGAUGCUCGCUUAUUUUCUAAAUUUGAUUUAAAGUCAAGUUACUGGCAGGUUCAAAUUGCUGAGCAAGAUAAAUAUAAAACUGCUUUCACUGUUCCAUUUGGACAUUAUGAAUGGAACGUUAUGGCUUUUGGUUUAAAAAAUGCUCCUUCAGAAUUUAUGAAUAUUAUGAAUGAAUUUUUUAAUGCCUAUACAGAAUUCUGCAUUGUUUAUAUUGAUGAUAUACUAAUCUUUUCCAAUACUAUUGAUCAACACUCUAAACAUCUAAAUAUUUUUUCUCAUCUUAUUAAGAAAAACGGUUUAGUUGUUUCUGCUUCAAAAAUGAAGAUUUUUAAAACCGAAAUUCUUUUCUUAAGACAUAAUAUUUGUCAAGGGAAAAUUAUCCCUAUUGAUAGAUCUAUAGAAUUUGCAUCAAAAUUCCCUGAUGAAAUAAGAGAUAAAAAACAGUUACAGAGAUUCUUAGGAAGCCUUAACUAUAUCUCUGAUUACUAUAAAGAUAUAGCUUUUGACACCAAAAUUCUUUAUGAAAGGCUUCGUAAAAAUCCUGAACCUUGGUCUGCGGACCAUACAAAAGCUGUUCAAAAAAUAAAGCUUAAAGCUAAACAGUUACCUUGCUUAUCUCUGGCAAAUCCGAAUGGAUUAAAAAUUGUUGAGACAGAUGCCUCUAAUAAAGGAUAUGGUGGUAUACUUAAACAGAAAAAUUAUUUGACUAAUAAAGAGGAUCUAAUUAGAUUCCAUUCUGGCAUUUGGAAAAAUGCUCAAGUCAAAUAUUCGACUGUUAAAAAAGAAAUGUUGGCUAUAGUCAAUUGUGUUAACAAAUUCCAAGAUGAUUUAAUUAACCAAGAAUUUUUGUUACGAAUUGAUUGUAGUUCAGCAAAAGAUAUUAUUGAAAAAGAUGUUAAAAAUUUAGCAUCUAAACAUAUUUUUGCCAGAUGGCAAGCAAUUCUAUCGGUAUUUGAAUUUCAAAUAGAAUUUAUAAAAGGAGAUAAUAAUUCUCUUCCUGAUUUCCUUACCCGCGAAUAUUUGCAGGGAUGAGUAAUCAUAGUCCAGCACCAUAUGUGGGGCAAGGACGUGGAAAAGGAAAAUGAAGCCUUAUCGGCCCUAAUUCGGGUUCUUCAAUUACAGGUAAAGGCAAAUUGAGCCUUAUCGGCCCUAAUUCGGGUUCUUCUGGAAAAGUCCCAAUGGACAAAAAUAUGAAAGUCCCAAUGGACAAAACUAUGAAAGAAGCUUUAUUAAGCAACAAUGAGCCCAAGUUGUUCUUAAAAAAUUAUACAUAACUACUUGUGACCCUCAAUUCAGAGGAUGAAAAAUGGUUAUCGGAUCCCAUAAUUCUGGGACAAAAAUAUUUUGAUGAGAAGGAUAAUAGUCCUAUCCGAGGUGGAAAACAUAGAUAUUUCUAUGAAUCAAUUUUAGAAGAAACUAAAUCAGUUAGUUUUGAACAUAAUAGAAAGGGUAAUACCCUUAAUUCACCUAUUGCUUACAGUAAAGCAAUGAUUCAUAUGGUCCUCAAAUCUUCUGAUUGGGGAGACCCAAAUAAAUUACGGGAGUUACGUGGUCCAUACCAUAAUUAUAAUCAAUCCUAUAAUUAUUGGGAUUACAUGGACGCAUGGACAUAUUCCUUCUUUUACCAAAAUUCUCAGAGGAAACAUUCUUGGUUCCUCUAUUUUGAUGAAGAUUUCAAAAAAAAAAAACAAUGAAAUUCCUAAUUGGUUUUACAAUUGGUUUUAUAAAUUUGGCCCUAAUUUGGAUUUUUUGCCAUCAGAGCUAAAAGCCCUUUUUAAACCUUACCUUCAAUUUCAUCAUUUGUUCGAAGGAAAAGAUACUAUUCGAGGAAGAUCACUCCUCUUUUUUCUAGCGGAUUAUUUGAUCCCUUGGAUUUGGGCUUGGACUUACAGUUGUCAAAUUCAAGCUUCAGAAGGUCUUCAUGGUCUUUGCCGACAAUAUCAUUACAAAUGGUGGGCAAAAUGUCCCAUCGAGAAAAAAUUGUUAACCAUUACUCCUGAUAUUCAAAAGCUAGAACAGCUUUAUGCUUCCCGUCAUACUCCAUCACCAGUUCCUAAAGAAUCCUUUACAGACAAUCAUGUUUCAAUCAUUCGGGAAAAAUUAACAAAAGCCCAUCCUGGGCUCUCAUCCCAAGAAAUCAAGUUUAGAGUUAUGAAAGAAAUGCAGGAGCACAUCCAAGCUUCUUUUGGGGAUAUUUCUCCUAUGGACACUACUUCCAAUACCAGUAAAGACACUGAUUAUCCUGGUAACACAAUUAUUUCAUGGUGGGACCUCAAACAAGAUUGCUCUCAACACAGUUCUUCCCAACAUGAAGAUGAGAAUAAUGAUAUUGAUCUAGGAGAGGAUUAAUCUCUCUUCUUAAUACUAUUGAUCCUCAAUACCAUUUUCACACAGACAAUGGGGUCUACAACACCCGUAAAUUACUCUACCGACAAUGGGAACCACAGAACCCACGUAAAUCAUCAACGAGCGAAUCUUCCAACAAUAAUGCUCGACAAAGAUAAUGUCCGCUACUAUUCAAAGGGGGCCACAUCACAUAAUGCUCUCAAUAGGGUCCACCCACUAGCAAGGUGCCCUAUGGGACCCACUUCCCACUUUCCAACUGGGACCCACUUUCCACUCCUCAAAUGCCUAUAUAAGCAAGUAUUUCAAAAUAAAGGAACAAGCUCGGACAAUCUCCAGCAAGCCUUCUCCCUUACUCUCUCAAGCCUUCUCCUUUCUUUUCCUCCUUUCGCUACUUGUAAUCUUUUCUUUUAAGCUUUCCUUGUAACCUUUCCCUUCUAGUUAUAAGCUUUGGUGUGCUAUUAUCCACCUGAAACUUUAUUCAGGGGGAAUAUGUAUGUAAAUUAAGCUCAAGUAUUCUGUAAGUUUUUCUUUUCUUGUUUUUAAUUUUUGUCUUUUAAUUUUAUGUGAAUAAAGCUUUCAGUAUUUUCUUCAUAGUUGCUUGUUUUGCACGUGGGUACGUAUCUUUAUGGAGCGUAGGUGGAGGAGAGCAGCCAGUUGAGUACGAUCGGGAGCAACGCCAGGAGGCUCGUGUAGAUCCAGUUGUUCGGGAAGGAGUUUGAGAUCGUAGAAGUUAUAUUUCAUAGUAGGUUUAAUUCUUUGAUUUGUUUGUCAAUGGAUUAUUCAAGUUUAUUCCAUUU
rnacentral:lncRNA from 1 species